rnacentral:miRNA from 1 species
ACUACGGGAGGCAUCCUUGCUG